ACGGGUGAGUAACACGUGGGUAACCUGCCCUGCAGAGGGGGAUAACAUUCGGAAACGGAUGCUAAAACCGCAUAGGUCUUCAAACCGCAUGGUUUGAAUAUGAAAAGAGGCGCUGGCUUCUGCUGAUGGAUGGACCCGCGGUGCAUUAUCUAGUGGGAGGGGUAACGGCUCCCCAAGGCCGUGAUGCAUAGCCGACCUGAGAGGGUGAUCGGCCACAUUGGGACUGACACACGGCCCAAACUCCUACGGGAGGCAGCAGUAGGGAAUCUUCCGCAAUGGACGCAAGUCUGACGGAGCAACGCCGCGUGAGUGAAGAAGGUUUUCGGAUCGUAAAACUCUGUUGUUAGAGAAGAACAAGUGCUAGAGUAACUGUUAGCGCCUUGACGGUAUCUAACCAGAAAAGCCACGGCUAACUACGUGCCAGCAGCCGCGGUAAUACGUAGGUCCGCAAGCGUUUGUCCGGAUUUAUUGGGGCGUAAAGCGAGCGCAGGCGGUUUGAUUAAGUCUGAAUGUAAAAGCCCGCCGGCUUCAACCGGGGAGGGUCUUGUGGAACAGUGAGGAUCUUGAGUGCAGAGGGAAGAGAGUGAAAUUCCGUGUGUAGCGGAGAAUGUGCGUAUAUAUAUGAGAGAGAAACACCAGUGGCGAAGCGCGACUCUGUGGUCUGUAUGUGACUCUGACGCUCGAAAAGCGUGGGUAGCAACACAGAUAUUAUAUACCUGUGUAUAGCUCCCACGCCCGAUAAC
rnacentral:rRNA from 1 species